rnacentral:rRNA from 1 species
GACGGAGGAUGCAAGUGUUAUCCGGAAUUACUGGGCGUAAAGCGUGCGCAGGCGGUUGUGCAAGACAGAUGUGAAAUCCCCGGGCUUAACCUGGGAAUUGCAUUUGUGACUGCACGACUAGAGUGUGUCAGAGGGGGGUAGAAUUCCACGUGUAGCAGUGAAAUGCGUAGAUAUGUGGAGGAAUACCGAUGGCGAAGGCAGCCCCCUGGGAUAACACUGACGCUCAUGCACGAAAGCGUGGGGAGCAAACAGG